rnacentral:RNase_P_RNA from 1 species
GGAGAGGGCCGGGUGGUCGCUGUCUCCGCGGCAGGGCGGGGAGAGAGGAAAGUCCGGGCUCCGCAGGGCAGGGUGGUCGGUAACGCCGACCGGGGGCGACCCCAGGGAAAGUGCCACAGAAAACAUACCGCCCCGAGCUUGUCGAGGGGUAAGGGUGAAAAGGUGCGGUAAGAGCGCACCGCAGCCCUGGUGACAAGGCUGGCAGGGCAAACCCCACCCGGAGCAAGGCCAAAUAGGGGAGCAUCCCUGCUGCAAGGCAGGGUUGUAGGACGGCCCGUCCGAGACUCCCGGGUUGGCUGCUAGAGUUCCGCAGCAAUGCGGAAUCGAGAGAAAUGAUCACCGGCCCCGGCAACGGGGCGUCACAGAACCCGGCUUACAGGCCCUCUCCGGCU